GCCUGGGUGGCUCAGUCGGUUAAGCGUCCGACUUCAGCUCAGGUCAUGAUCUUACGGUUCGUGGGUUCGAGCCCCGCAUUGGGCU
rnacentral:tRNA from 1 species